CCUACGGGAGGCAGCCGUGGGGAAUAUUGGGCAAUGGGCGCAAGCCUGACCCAGCAACGCCGCGUGAAGGCAGAAGGCUUUCGGGUUGUAAACUUCUUUUCUGCGGGACGAAGAAAGUGACGGUACCUCAGGAAUAAGCCACGGCUAACUACGUGCCCGCAGCCGCGGUAAUACGUAGGUGGGAAGCGUUAUCCGGGUUUAUUUGGUGUAAAGGGCGUGUAGGCGGGAAAGUAAGUCAGAUGUUAAAACUCAGGGCUCAAACCUGAGCCUGCAUUUGAAACUGUUUUUCUUGAGUGCUGGAGAGGCAAUCGGAAUUCCGGGUGUAGAGGUGAAAUGCGUAGAUAUACGGAGGAACACCAGUGGCGAAGGCGGAUUGCUGGACAGUAACUGACGCUGAGGCGCGAAAGCGUGGGGAGCAAACAGGAUUAGAUACCCCUGUAGUC
rnacentral:rRNA from 1 species